GGGGGGGACGUAUCGGAUCUGGGCGUAAGCGCGCGCAGGCGGUCUAUGUAAGACAGAUGUGAAAUCCCCGGGCUCAACCUGGGAACUGCAUUUGUGACUGCAUGGCUAGAGUACUGUAGAGGGGGAUGGAAUUCCGCGUGUAGCAGUGAAAUGCGUAGAUAUGCGGAGGAACACCGAUGGCGAAGGCAAUCCCCUGGACCUGUACUGACGCUCAUGCGCGAAAGCGUGGGGAGCAAACAGGAUUAGAUACCCUGGUAGUCCACGCCCUAAACGAUGUCAACUGGUUGGUGGGAAUUAUUUUUCUCGGUUACCAAACUUACGCGUGAAGUUCACCGCCUGGGGAAUACCGGCCCCAGGGUGAAACUCCAAAGAAUUGACCGGGACCCCCCCAAACCGUGGAAGAUGGGGUUUAAUUCCAUGCCACCCGAAAAAACUUUCCCUGCUUUUACAUGCCACGAAAUUUCCCAAAAAGGAUUCGUGCUCUACAGAAAACCUGCAAACAGGUGCUGCAUGGCUGUCUUCACCUCGGGUCGUGAGAUGUUGGGUUAAUUCCCGCAACGAGCGCAACCCUUGUCAUUAGUUGCUACAUUUAGGUGGGCACUCUAAUGAGACUGCCCGUGACAAACCUGAAGAAAGUGGGGAUAACAUCCAAUCCUCCUGGCCCCUAUAGGACGGGCUACACACCUCAUACAAUGGCUGGUACAGAAGGUUGCCAACCCCCCAGGAGCAGCUAAUCCCCUAAAAACAGUCCUAAUCCCGAACUCAAUCUGCCACUCCACUGCCUUAAAUCCGAAUCCCCAGUAAUCCCGAAAUCACAAUGCCCGGUGAAUUACUUUCCCGGGC
rnacentral:rRNA from 1 species